GUAACGGCAAGUGAAGCGGUAACAGCUCAAAUUUGAAAUCUGGCUCCUCGGGGCCCGAAUUGUAAUUUGUAGAAGAUGCUUUGGGUCUGGGCCUGGCCUAAGUUCCUUGGAACAGGACGUCGUAGAGGGUGAGAAUCCCGUAUGCGGCUGGCGCCCGUGCCCGUGUAAAGCUCUUUCAACGAGUCGAGUUGUUUGGGAAUGCAGCUCUAAAUGGGUGGUAAAUUUCAUCUAAAGCUAAAUAUUGGCCAGAGACCGAUAGCGCACAAGUAGAGUGAUCGAAAGAUGAAAAGCACUUUGGAAAGAGAGUUAAACAGUACGUGAAAUUGUUGAAAGGGAAGCGCUGGCAACCAGACUUGGGCGCUGUUGAUCCGCUAGGGUUCUCUCUAGGGCACUCGGCAGUGCGCAGGCCAGCAUCGGUUUGGGGGGUUGGAGAAUGGCUGGUGGAAUGUGGCUGUCUUUGGGCAGUGUUAUAGCC
rnacentral:rRNA from 1 species